rnacentral:rRNA from 1 species
GCAGUCGAGCGAACAGAUGAGAAGCUUGCUUCUCUGAUGUUAGCGGCGGACGGGUGAGUAACACGUGGGUAACCUACCUAUAAGACUGGGAUAACUCCGGGAAACCGGGGCUAAUACCGGAUAAUAUUUUGAACCGCAUGGUUCAAUAGUGAAAGACGGUUUCGGCUGUCACUUAUAGAUGGACCCGCGCCGUAUUAGCUAGUUGGUAAGGUAAUGGCUUACCAAGGCGACGAUACGUAGCCGACCUGAGAGGGUGAUCGGCCACACUGGAACUGAGACACGGUCCAGACUCCUACGGGAGGCAGCAGUAGGGAAUCUUCCGCAAUGGGCGAAAGCCUGACGGAGCAACGCCGCGUGAGUGAUGAAGGUCUUCGGAUCGUAAAACUCUGUUGUUAGGGAAGAACAAAUUUGUUAGUAACUGAACAAGUCUUGACGGUACCUAACCAGAAAGCCACGGCUAACUACGUGCCAGCAGCCGCGGUAAUACGUAGGUGGCAAGCGUUAUCCGGAAUUAUUGGGCGUAAAGCGCGCGUAGGCGGUUUCUUAAGUCUGAUGUGAAAGCCCACGGCUCAACCGUGGAGGGUCAUUGGAAACUGGGAAACUUGAGUGCAGAAGAGGAGAGUGGAAUUCCAUGUGUAGCGGUGAAAUGCGCAGAGAUAUGGAGGAACACCAGUGGCGAAGGCGGCUCUCUGGUCUGUAACUGACGCUGAUGUGCGAAAGCGUGGGGAUCAAACAGGAUUAGAUACCCUGGUAGUCCACGCCGUAAACGAUGAGUGCUAAGUGUUAGGGGGUUUCCGCCCCUUAGUGCUGCAGCUAACGCAUUAAGCACUCCGCCUGGGGAGUACGACCGCAAGGUUGAAACUCAAAGGAAUUGACGGGGACCCGCACAAGCGGUGGAGCAUGUGGUUUAAUUCGAAGCAACGCGAAGAACCUUACCAAAUCUUGACAUCCUUUGACCGCUCUAGAGAUAGAGUCUUCCCCUUCGGGGGACAAAGUGACAGGUGGUGCAUGGUUGUCGUCAGCUCGUGUCGUGAGAUGUUGGGUUAAGUCCCGCAACGAGCGCAACCCUUAAGCUUAGUUGCCAUCAUUAAGUUGGGCACUCUAGGUUGACUGCCGGUGACAAACCGGAGGAAGGUGGGGAUGACGUCAAAUCAUCAUGCCCCUUAUGAUUUGGGCUACACACGUGCUACAAUGGAUAAUACAAAGGGCAGCGAAUCCGCGAGGCCAAGCAAAUCCCAUAAAAUUAUUCUCAGUUCGGAUUGUAGUCUGCAACUCGACUACAUGAAGCUGGAAUCGCUAGUAAUCGUAGAUCAGCAUGCUACGGUGAAUACGUUCCCGGGUCUUGUACACACCGCCCGUCACACCACGAGAGUUUGUAACACCCGAAGCCGGUGGAGUAACC